CAUCAUGGCCCUUACGACCAGGGCUACACACGUGCUACAAUGGCAUAUACAAAGAGAAGCGACCUCGCGAGAGCAAGCGGACCUCAUAAAGUAUGUCGUAGUCCGGAUUGGAGUCUGCAACUCGACUCCAUGAAGUCGGAAUCGCUAGUAAUCGUAGAUCAGAAUGCUACGGUGAAUACGUUCCCGGGCCUUGUACACACCGCCCGUCACACCAUGGGAGUGGGUUGCAAAAGAAGUAGGUAGCUUAACCUUCGGGAGGGCGCUUACCACUUUGUGAUUCAUGACUGGGGUGAAGUCGUAACAAGGUAACCGUAGGGGAACCUGCGGUUGGAUCACCUCCUU
rnacentral:rRNA from 1 species